ensembl:lncRNA
GAAAGCACAUACUUUUGGCUCUUGGUGGUGGAUGGAACUAAGAAGGAAAGUAUUUUAAUUGUAACACUGCACCUGCUCUUCUCUAAGUGACACUGCCAACCUGUUUCGGGAUGAGUAAUUCAGGACUUGAGUCACACUCACCCACAGAGCUGUUAUUCAGAGGAAACGUUGCCCAGGAUCAGUGUGUACAACUUCGUGUGACAGAAUUUUCAGCAGCCAUGGGAACAGCCAUUUAAAUAAAGACGACUCAAAUAAGACCUCUCCAGGUUCGGCCCAAAGUACUUCACUACCUAUGAUGUCAUCUAAUGAUCCAAAGCUGUACAUAAAACUGCAAUCAAGGAACUGGAAAACAUUUGGACUGCUUAGUUAACACGCAUAUAGAAACAUGGAAAAAACUGUAUUUUAAAUGUCACCUUUUUUGAUAUGUCACACAUUUGUCCCUACAAUGGAGAAGCUCUAUUUUCUCUUUUUAAUAGCUUUAGGUAAUACUUUUGUCCUGGUCUCUGUGAAUAGGCAGGAAGGCUGUAAUUUUGUUAAAAGACAUUAUGUAAUAACAUAUCCUUGAGAAAUUGGAUAAGGCCUGUCUAUGCCACCAUAAACAUACUAAGUAAGGCCUUUGAAUUAACUUCAUUUGAAAGAGCUUGCUAAGAGCUAAGGCACAUAACGGGAUAGAAUUGAAUUACAGUGGCCUAAUAAAUUAUCAACCAUUAGCUGAAUUUCCUUAAUUGCCUGCGGGCAUGCUUUUAGUCCACCCCAAUUGUGAGGUAAUAAACGUCAGUGAAAGGUACUUCAGAAGAACAUUUGAAACCUAAAUAACAGUACGGAGACUGAAUACUUUGUUGGGCCAUUGCCCAUGUCCUUGAAUGAUGUUAGAUAAAUCAACAAGUAAUUUUUCAAUUCAUGUUUAUAAUUCCGUUUGUGAUACGUUACUUGAACAACAAGGAACCACAAGAAAGUAGAAAUGCUGAAAGGGAGGGGAAGGGGGAAAGAGAUAUCUGGAUAUCUGUUGAGUUGAGCUUCAAAUUAGGUAACUGACAAUCUUUCUCAGAACAGGCUUGAAACUGCCAAAAAGUAGUAAAAUAAGCAGGAAGGGGAUGCAGGGGGAAGUUGCAAAAAGGGAAUCCUUCUAUAGUGCCAAAUUUAGGGGAAUUGUAAAGUAAACAUCUUUACUGAAGAAUUUCUGUGGUGUUUAAGUCCUGCUUUGUGCUUGCCUUAUAUUUUUCAGUUGGCAAGUAAUAGCAAAAAGAUUCUGUUUAUUGAAGAAAGUUUAACUACUUUGAAAUCUGGAUGGGUAUUUUUGUUGGUCCAACAUAUUUCAAAAUAUAAAAGUUAGCAUGAAUUAAAAUUCUGUUCUGAAUAUUAAGUCUCCGGAGUAUUUGAGACAAGAUAAAAAUCUGAUUACAUUCAUUUCAUGGAUCUAUUAUCUUUUGGAUUUUUAUUCAUAAAUUUUAAACACUGUACAUUUGCAAUAACUCAUAUCUUAUAGUGUCAUGCAUAAAAUGUAUUUUACAGUGCUGAAAACCAACAUAGAUCUUAGAUCUUGAUAGUGUCAUAAUCUGGUGUGAUUUUGCUUUAAGUUUUUUACAUGAAAAAAAGGAUUUUGAUUCAACCUUGUUUAUGGCAGGUCCAUUUAGAUCUUCUUAUUAAAUAAUUACUUGGUUGCGAUUAAUAGUAGAAGAUAUGAUUAAAUAUUAUUGUUUCCGAAACUGCAUAAAUCUUGUAAAAUUGAAAAUAAACUUCUUAUAGCC